rnacentral:tRNA from 1 species
GGGGUUGUAGCUCAGUGGUAGAGCACUUGCCUUGUAUGCAUGAGGAACUGGGUUCAAUCCCCAGCACCA